AGAAGGUCUGGACAUCAUUAAGAAUGAACUUAAGGAUGUCAGAGCGGAGCUGCAGAAGAACCAAGGAAAGAGGGAGGAGGAUAUUUUGUUGGCCCUGGAAUCCUUGUUGAAGAAGAAAGACCAGGAGACCUCCCAUCGAUUUGAAACUCUGGAAAAAGAUUUCCAGGAAAGUCUGGAGAGCGUUAAGAAUGAGCUUAAGGAUAUCAGAGUGGAGCUGGAGAAGAGCAAAGUCAAUAAAGAGGAGGAUAUUGUAUUGGUCCUGGCAUCCUUGUUGAAGAAGAAAGACCAGGAGACCUCCCAUCGAUUUGAAACUCUGGAAAAAGAUUUCCAGGAAAGUCUGGAGACCAUAAAACAUGAGCUUAAGGAUCUCAGAGCAGAGCUGAAGAAGAACCAAGGAGAGAAGGAGAAGGAAAGUGCAUGAGCCCUUGCUCAGGUCUCUGGACAGAGCACUUCUGGACAGCAAAUCCGUAUGACUAUGUAGAAGCUGAUUUAUUGUUUACUUUUAACCAUACUUAUACAUUCUAAAACUACUGUUAUAUGUAAUAUACAAAUCAAGCCGAAUUAAAAAUAUUAAAGCAACAA